GAUGAACGCUAGCGGAAGGCUUAAUACAUGCAAGUCGAGCGGUAGGUGGCUUCGGCCAUUGAGAGCGGCGCACGGGUGAGUAACGCGUACAUGACCUGCCUGUCAGAAGGGGAUAGCCCUGGGAAACUGGGAUUAAUACCCGAUGGUAUUGAUAUUAUGAAUGAUAUCAAUUAAAGUUGAGGCGCUGACAGAUGGAUGUGCGUCUGAUUAGCUAGUUGGUAGGGUAACGGCCGACCAAGGCGAAGAUCAGUAGGGGGCGUGAGAGCGUGGUCCCCCACACGGGUACUGAGACACGGACCCGAAUCCUACGGGAGGCAGCAGUAAGGAAGGUUGGUGAAUGCCCGCAAGGGUGAACCAGCCAUUCCGCGUGGAGGAUGAAGGCCCUAUGGGUUGUAAACUUCUUUUAGAUGGGAAGAAAAUGCUAGAUGUAUCUGGUACUGACGGUACCAUCAGAAUAAGCACCGGCUAACUCCGUGCCAGCAGCCGCCGUAAAAC
rnacentral:rRNA from 1 species